UACGAGCGCACCCUUGCCCUUAGUUGCCAUCACUUCGGGUGGGAACUCUAGGGGAGACUGCCGGUGAUAAACCGGAGGAAGGUGGGGAUGACGUCAAGUCAUCAUGGCCCUUAUGGGGAGGGCUACACACGUGCUACAAUGGGCGGUACAGAGGGCUGCUAAGCCGCGAGGUGGAGCUAAUCUCAGAAAACCGGUCUUAGUCCGGAUUGCAGUCUGCAACUCGACUGCAUGAAGCCGGAAUCGCUAGUAAUCGCGAAUCAGAACGCCGCGGUGAAUACGUUCCCGGGCCUUGUACACACCGCCCGUCACACCAUGGGAGUGGGCUGUACCAGAAGCAGGUAGGCUAACCUUCGGGAGGACGCUCACCACGGUGUGAUUCAUGACUGGGGUGAAGUCGUAACAAGGUAGCCCUAGGGGAACCUGCGGCUGGAUCA
rnacentral:rRNA from 1 species